rnacentral:rRNA from 1 species
AAAGAAACCAACAGGGAUUGCCCCAGUAACGGCGAGUGAAGCGGCAACAGCUCAGAUUUGGAAUCUGGCCCUCGCGGGCCCGAGUUGUAAUCUGUAGAGGAUGCUUCUGGCGAGGCGCCGCCCGAGUUCCCUGGAACGGGACGCCACAGAGGGUGAGAGCCCCGUCUGGCUGGCCGCCGAGCCUCUGUGAAGCUCCUUCGACGAGUCGAGUAGUUUGGGAAUGCUGCUCAAAACGGGAGGUAUAUGUCUUCUAAAGCUAAAUAUUGGCCAGAGACCGAUAGCGCACAAGUAGAGUGAUCGAAAGAUGAAAAGCACUUUGAAAAGAGGGUUAAACAGUACGUGAAAUUGUUGAAAGGGAAGCGCUCGCGACCAGACUCGGGCGUGGCGGAUCAUCCGGCGUUCUCGCCGGUGCGCUCCGCCGCGCCCGGGCCAGCAUCGGUUCCUCCCGGGGGAUAAAGGCGUCGGGAACGUGGCUCCCCUUCGGGGGAGUGUUAUAGCCCGGCGCGCAAUACCCUGGGGCGGACCGAGGACCGCGCGCCUUCUGGCGCAAGGAUGCUGGCGUAAUGGUCGCCAGCGACCCGUCU